UGGAAGCGUCUGGAAAGGCGCGCGAUACAGGGUGACAGCCCCGUACACAAAAGCGCAUGUGCUGUGAGCUCGAUGAGUAGGGCGGGACACGUGAUAUCCUGUCUGAAUAUGGGGGGACCAUCCUCCAAGGCUAAAUACUCCUGACUGACCGAUAGUGAACCAGUACCGUGAGGGAAAGGCGAAAAGAACCCCGGCGAGGGGAGUGAAAAAGAACCUGAAACCGUGUACGUACAAGCAGUGGGAGCACCCUUCGGGGUGUGACUGCGUACCUUUUGUAUAAUGGGUCAGCGACUUAUAUUCUGUAGCAAGGUUAACCGAAUAGGGGAGCCGGAGGGAAACCGAGUCUUAACCGGGCGUUAAGUUGCAGGGUAUAGACCCGAAACCCGGUGAUCUAGCCAUGGGCAGGUUGAAGGUUGGGUAACACUAACUGGAGGACCGAACCGACUAAUGUUGAAAAAUUAGCGGAUGACCUGUGGCUGGGGGUGAAAGGCCAAUCAAACCGGGAGAUAGCUGGUUCUCCCCGAAAGCUAUUUAGGUAGCGCCUCGUGAAUUCAUCUCCGGGGGUAGAGCACUGUUUCGGCUAGGGGGCCAUCCCGGCUUACCAACCCGAUGCAAACUGCGAAUACCGGAGAAUGUUAUCACGGGAGACACACGGCGGGUGCUAACGUCCGUCGUGAAGAGGGAAACAACCCAGACCGCCAGCUAAGGUCCCAAAGUCAUGGUUAAGUGGGAAACGAUGUGGGAAGGCCCAGACAGCCAGGAUGUUGGCUUAGAAGCAGCCAUCAUUUAAAGAAAGCGUAAUAGCUCACUGGUCGAGUCGGCCUGCGCGGAAGAUGUAACGGGGCUAAACCAU
rnacentral:rRNA from 1 species